UCAGGAUGAACGCUGGCGGCGUGCCUAACACAUGCAAGUCGAACGAAGCACCUUUUGAGAUUCUUCGGAUGAUCGAUCGGUGACUGAGUGGCGGACGGGUGAGUAACGCGUGGGUAACCUGCCCUGUACAGGGGGAUAACAGCUGGAAACGGCUGCUAAUACCGCAUAAGCGCACGAGGAGACAUCUCUUUGUGUGAAAAACUCCGGUGGUACAGGAUGGGCCCGCGUCUGAUUAGCUGGUUGGCAGGGUAACGGCCUACCAAGGCGACGAUCAGUAGCCGGUCUGAGAGGAUGAACGGCCACAUUGGAACUGAGACACGGUCCAAACUCCUACGGGAGGCAGCAGUGGGGAAUAUUGCACAAUGGGGGAAACCCUGAUGCAGCAACGCCGCGUGAGUGAAGAAGUAUUUCGGUAUGUAAAGCUCUAUCAGCAGGGAAGAUAAUGACGGUACCUGACUAAGAAGCUCCGGCUAAAUACGUGCCAGCAGCCGCGGUAAUACGUAUGGAGCAAGCGUUAUCCGGAUUUACUGGGUGUAAAGGGUGCGUAGGUGGCAGUGCAAGUCAGAUGUGAAAGGCCGGGGCUCAACUCCGGAGCUGCAUUUGAAACUGCAUAGCUAGAGUACAGGAGAGGCAGGCGGAAUUCCUAGUGUAGCGGUGAAAUGCGUAGAUAUUAGGAGGAACACCAGUGGCGAAGGCGGCCUGCUGGACUGUUACUGACACUGAGGCACGAAAGCGUGGGGAGCAAACAAAAUUAGAUACCCUGGUAGACCACGCCGUAAAC
rnacentral:rRNA from 1 species